CCUACGGGACGCAGCAGUGGGGGAUAUUGCACAAUGGGGGGAACCCUGAUGCAGCGACGCCGCGUGAGCGAUGAAGUAUUUCGGUAUGUAAAGCUCUAUCAGCAGGGAAGAAAAUGACGGUACCUGACUAAGAAGCCCCGGCUAACUACGUGCCAGCAGCCGCGGUAAUACGUAGGGGGCAAGCGUUAUCCGGAUUUACUGGGCGUAAAGGGAGCGUAGACGGCUGUGCAAGCCAGAUGUGAAAGCCCGGGGCUCAACCCCGGGACUGCAUUUGGAACUGUGUGGCUGGAGUGGCGUGGAGGCAG
rnacentral:rRNA from 1 species